UCAUACAAUCAAUAUAACAAUUAUUUUACCACAGAACUUUAAAGCGUAUCAACUCUUACUAAGUCCUCAACUACAUCUAACUACAUAAAUCAUCACCUCAUAUCAAAACAAAUGAAAUACAAAGAGGUUGUAGUCAGACAAUCCAAUCCUCCAGCGGAGAAAAGAUCCGAUCCGGUGAACUCUAUUAGUCUACAAAACACACGUUUAACAGCAACAAAACAAACGGAAUAGAUCCGAUCCUGGGUGAACUCUAUUAGUCUACAAAACACACGUUUAACAGCAACAAAACAAACGGAAUAGGUCCGAUCCUGGGUGAACUCUAUUAGUCUACAAAACACACGUUUAACAGCAACAAAACAAACGGAAUAGGUCCGAUCCUGGGUGAACUCUAUUAGUCUACAAAACACACGUUUAACAGCAACAAAACAAACGGAAUAGAUCCGAUCCUGGGUGAACUCUAUUAGUCUACAAAACACACGUUUAACAGCAACAAAACAAACGGAAUAGAUCCGAUCCGGUGAACUCUAUUAGUCUACAAAACACACGUUUAACAGCAACAAAACAAACGGAAUAGAUCCGAUCCUGGGUGAACUCUAUUAGUCUACAAAACACACGUUUAACAGCAACAAAACAAACGGAAUAGGUCCGAUCCUGGGUGAACUCUAUUAGUCUACAAAACACACGUUUAACAGCAACAAAACAAACGGAAUAGGUCCGAUCCUGGGUGAACUCUAUUAGUCUACAAAACACACGUUUAACAGCAACAAAACAAACGGAAUAGAUCCGAUCCUGGGUGAACUCUAUUAGUCUACAAAACACACGUUUAACAGCAACAAAACAAACGGAAUAGAUCCGAUCCUGGGUGAACUCUAUUAGUCUACAAAACACACGUUUAACAGCAACAAAACAAACGGAAUAGGUCCGAUCCUGGGUGAACUCUAUUAGUCUACAAAACACACGUUUAACAGCAACAAAACAAACGGAAUAGAUCCGAUCCUGGGUGAACUCUAUUAGUCUACAAAACACACGUUUAACAGCAACAAAACAAACGGAAUAGGUCCGAUCCUGGGUGAACUCUAUUAGUCUACAAAACACACGUUUAACAGCAACAAAACAAACGGAAUAGGUCCGAUCCUGGGUGAACUCUAUUAGUCUACAAAACACACGUUUAACAGCAACAAAACAAACGGAAUAGAGAAGCAUCUGGAAACUGAGGGUUGAACACAUCCUCAGUCACGUCUCCAUCACAACCCCACUUUUGCGCAGCUGAUGCUAUUUAAUUGGGAAUUAAAGGGAAAGCGGCUUAGUGGAAAGAGAAGCACUGAAACGGAUCAGAAAAAUUCAGGGCCAUCACAACACAUGGACAAACACACACACAUUCACACACACAGGACACAAACACACACACACACAGGACACAAACACACACACUCACUGGACAAACAAAAACACACACACACACUGAACACACACACACACGCUAUACAAAAACACACACACACACACACACGCUAGACACACACACACACACUGGACACACACACAGUGAACACACACAAUUGGACACACACACACACACUGGACAAAAACACACACACUGAACACACAUACACACACACGCUGGGCACACACACACACACACACACUGGACAAACACACACACAACACACUGGACAAACAAAAAUACACACAGACACACACGCUGGACACAGACACACACACUGGACACACACACACACACUGGACACACACACUGGACACACACACACACACACUGGACACACACACUGGACACACACACAUGCGCGUCUUCCUAUAAUUGUGACCUUGACCCAGGACCUCUUACAAUAACAUGUAUUUUAUGUUGAAUAACAAAUUGUACAAUAAUAUACAAUUAUAUAUGGACAUACGCUCCAUAGUUGUACAAG